rnacentral:rRNA from 1 species
AGGACGAACGCUGGCGGCGUGCUUAACACAUGCAAGUCGAGCGGAAAGGCCCUUCGGGGUACUCGAGCGGCGAACGGGUGAGUAACACGUGAGCAAUCUGCCCUUAGCUUCGGGAUAGCUCCGGGAAACCGGAAUUAAUACCGAAUAUGACUUCGGCCGACAUCGGCCUUGGUGGAAAGUUUUUCGGCUAGGGAUGAACUCGCGGCCUAUCAGCUUGUUGGUGGGGUAAUGGCCUACCAAGGCGACGACGGGUAGCCGGCCUGAGAGGGCGACCGGCCACACUGGGACUGAGACACGGCCCAGACUCCUACGGGAGGCAGCAGUGGGAAUAUUGCGCAAUGGGCGAAAGCCUGACGCAGCGACGCCGCGUGGGGAUGAAGGCCUUCGGGUUGUAAACCCCUUUCAGCAGGGACGAAGCGAAGUGACGGUACCUGCAGAAGAAGCGCCGGCUAACUACGUGCCAGCAGCCGC